rnacentral:rRNA from 1 species
UUGACCUCAAAUCAGGUAGGACUACCCGCUGAACUUAAGCAUAUCAAUAAGCGGAGGAAAAGAAACUAACAAGGAUUCCCCUAGUAACUGCGAGUGAAGCGGGAAAAGCUCAAAUUUGAAAUCUGGCAGUCUCUGAUUGUCCGAGUUGUAAUCUAGAGAAGUGUUACCCGCGUUGGACCGUGUACAAGUCUCCUGGAAUGGAGCGUCAUAGAGGGUGAGAAUCCCGUCUUUGACACGGACUCCCAAGGCUUUGUGGUGCGCUCUCAAAGAGUCGAGUUGUUUGGGAAUGCAGCUCAAAAUGGGUGGUAAAUGCCAUCUAAAGCUAAAUACAGGCGAGAGACCGAUAGCGAACAAGUACCGUGAGGGAAAGAUGAAAAGAACUUUGGAAAGAGAGUUAAACAGUACGUGAAAUUGCUGAAAGGGAAACGCUUGAAGUCAGUCGCGUUGGCUGGAAAUCAACCUUGCUUUUGUUGGGUGUACUUUCCAGUUGACGGGUCAGCAUCAGUUUUGACCAGUGGAAAAAGGCGUAGGAAAUGUGGCUUCCUCGGAAGUGUUAUAGUCCUGCGUUGUAUACAUUGGUUGGGACUGAGGAACUCAGCACGCCGCAAGGCCGGGGUUCGCCCACGUACGUGCUUAGGAUGCUGGCAAAAUGGCUUUAAUCGACC